CUCCCGGUGAUCCCGCCGGACCCGACUGCUAUCAGAGUGGGACUAAGCCAUGCGAGUCAACAUAGCAAUAUGUGGCAUACGGCUCAGUAACACGUAGUCAACAUGCCCAGGGGACGUGGAUAACCUCGGGAAACUGAGGAUAAACCGCGAUAGGUCAUCACUUCUGGAAUGGGUAAUGACUUAAAUCUAUAUGGCCCCUGGAUUGGACUGCGGCCGAUCAGGCUGUUGGUGAGGUAAUGGCCCACCAAACCUGUAACCGGUACGGGCUCUGAGAGGAGGAGCCCGGAGAUGGGCACUGAGACAAGGGCCCAGGCCCUAUGGGGCGCAGCAGGCGCGAAACCUCUGCAAUAGGCGAAAGCUUGACAGGGUUACUCUGAGUGAUUUCCGUUAAGGAGAUCUUUUGGCACCUCUAAAAAUGGUGCAGAAUAAGGGGUGGGCAAGUCUGGUGUCAGCCGCCGCGGUAAUACCAGCACCCCGAGUGGUCGGGACGUUUAUUGGGCCUAAAGCAUCCGUAGCCGGUUCUACAAGUCUUCCGUUAAAUCCACCUGCUUAACAGAUGGGCUGCGGAAGAUACUAUAGAGCUAGGAGGCGGGAGAGGCAAGCGGUACUCGAUGGGUAGGGGUAAAAUCCGUUGAUCCAUUGAAGACCACCAGUGGCGAAGGCGGCUUGCCAGAACGCGCUCGACGGUGAGGGAUGAAAGCUGGGGGAGCAAACCGGAUUAGAUACCCGGGUAGUCCCAGCUGUAAACGAUGCAGACUCGGUGAUGAGUUGGCUUAUUGCUAACUCAGUGCCGCAGGGAAGCCGUUAAGUUUGCCGCCUGGGGAGUACGGUCGCAAGACUGAAACUUAAAGGAUUGGCGGGGGAGCA
rnacentral:rRNA from 1 species